rnacentral:lncRNA from 1 species
GGCGCGCGCGCGUGCUCUGCUCGCCCACCGGCGCCGUGCGCGGAGAACAACAGCAGCGUGGGGCGUCCCUCGAGCGGGCACGCGGAUCCCGGAGACCCUGCGGUGGACCUUAAGCCUUAGGGGCUCCGCGCUGUCUGCAUGCAGCACACACACGCGCGCACGCCGCACACACACGCACGCACGCACGCACGCACGCAAUCCAGAGGAGGCGCCGCGGAGGAGAGCGAUGCCCCCUGCGAUCGGACGCGUUCGGGCUGCGAUCUGACGUCCUUCAGAUGCGAUCGGAUCGGACGCGACCCGACGUCCUGCUGGCCUCCAGAUGUGUGCGGGGCUCCGAGCUUCAGCCGGCGGCGCGCUGCUCAGUCACUGCGGCGGCGUCCUCCUCAUCCCCAGCCUGGCGCCGGCGAGUUCGCGACCGUCGCUGUGGAUCCGAGCUCAGUCCGGUUCCCGCACCGUGACCAGUGGACUCGCUCCCCUGCGCAGCUCCGUUUUAUGAAAGCGCGUCCCCGCGGCCCCCGUCCGCCCGCAUGUGGACAGCGCUCAUUGGACGGCACGAGCCCGGAAAUCUGCCACCCGAUUCACAGAGCGCGUGGAUCGGCUGGUUCCUCCGAUUUCUGCCCCACCUCCACGUCCCCCUCCUCCUCCUCCUCCUCCUCCUCCCCCCCCCCCCGCCGCUCCGAUCGCGGGUCCGUGACGCACAUGGGAGGCGAGACUGUUACAGUGUUGCGCUUCCAGGGAAUCCCUCGCGCCGGGCUCUCGCACACCUCGCGCACCUUUACACAACCUUUUUUUACUGUGUUCCUGCGCUCCAGUCCCGUCCGUGUUGCCGUGGUGUGUGUGACGCGUCCUUCGGUGCCACGCACGAUCUCCCACACGUGUUAAAUGCUUUCGAAGCAGAGGCUCGAGCGGAGUGUGUGUGUGUGUGUGUGUGUGUGUGUGUGUGUGCGCGCGUUCCUGAGGUUCACUUCACUUGUUACGCGUGUUACCAACCAGGCUCGUUCCUCUUCCACAUGUUAUUAAUCAUGCU